rnacentral:rRNA from 1 species
AGAAGCAAGCCGCGAGGUAGAGCAAAUCUCAAAAAAACAAUCUCAGUUCAGACUGCAGGCUGCAACUCGCCUGCACGAAGUCGGAAUUGCUAGUAAUCGUAGGUCAGCAUACUACGGUGAAUACGUUCCCGGGCCUUGUACACACCGCCCGUCAAACCAUGAGAGUUGGCAACACCCGAAGUCGGUAGUCUAACCGCAAGGAGGACGCCGCCGAAGGUGGGGUUGAUGAUUAGGGUUAAGUCGUAACAAGGUAAC